AUUGAACGCUGGCGGCAGGCUUAACACAUGCAAGUCGAACGGUAACAUAAAGAAGCUUGCUUCUUUGAUGACGAGUGGCGGACGGGUGAGUAAUGCUUGGGAAUCUAGCUUAUGGAGGGGGAUAACUACGGGAAACCGUAGCUAAUACCGCGUAGUAUCGGAAGAUGAAAGUGUGGGACCUUCGGGCCACAUGCCAUAGGAUGAGCCCAAGUGGGAUUAGGUAGUUGGUGAGGUAAAGGCUCACCAAGCCGACGAUCUCUAGCUGGUCUGAGAGGAUGACCAGCCACACUGGGACUGAGACACGGCCCAGACUCCUACGGGAGGCAGCAGUGGGGAAUAUUGCGCAAUGGGGGCAACCCUGACGCAGCCAUGCCGCGUGAAUGAAGAAGGCCUUCGGGUUGUAAAGUUCUUUCGGUAGCGAGGAAGGCAUUUAGUUUAAUAAACUAGGUGAUUGACGUUAACUACAGAAGAAGCACCGGCUAACUCCGUGCCAGCAGCCGCGGUAAUACGGAGGGUGCGAGCGUUAAUCGGAAUAACUGGGCGUAAAGGGCACGCAGGCGGUGACUUAAGUGAGGUGUGGAAGCCCCGGGCUUAACCUGGGAAUUGCAUUUCAUACUGGGUCGCUAGAGUACUUUAGGGAGGGGUAGAAUUCCACGUGUAGCGGUGAAAUGCGUAGAGAUGUGGAGGAAUACCGAAGGCGAAGGCAGCCCCUUGGGAAUGUACUGACGCUCAUGUGCGAAAGCGUGGGGAGCAAACAGG
rnacentral:rRNA from 1 species